rnacentral:misc_RNA from 1 species
AUAUUGUCAAACGAAGAUAAUUCAUUAAAAAACAUUUUAAAUUUUAUUUUAUUAAUAUAAAAAUCACUUAAAAAUAUUCGUUCGGUAUACCAGGUCAUUUACCCACAAAUUGUGUAAGUAACAAUUUCCUGAUUGCAUGAUGAAAUAACCAAGUCAUUUCCAUCGUAAAAAGAUUGCAAAAGUACUUUGUCGACAGAACGAUGGUUUGGAAAAAACCGGAAAUUCUGCUGACAAAGAAAAUUAACACUAGGGUACGACGAACGAAAUUUGGCAGAGUUACGACCGGGUCUCGGGCAAGAAGAGGUAACCGAAAGCAGUGCGGAAAAGCUUUGUGAAAUGUUUGCUCCAAGAAUAAUAAUAAUGUUAAUCACUAUGGUGCUAAAUCAGGCGCAGAACAUGAAGGAAGAACAAGAUUACAGAGUUGAGGUAAGCGCGGGAGCUUAUUGGAAACCACUCCCAGCGACAAGAAUCUAUGAAGCUACAGUACCAUUGACAUAUGAAACGGAAUGGACCGAGGAUACCGAUGACCACACGAUGGAUGUAGGAAAUCUCAAAUGCAGCCAAUUGCAAACGAACGAAUGCUUCGUAAUAAAUAGUAUAAAUGGACUAAAUAAAGCAUUCUUCAAAGAAUUAACUUUACUUAACGAACACUGGGGCAUAGCACCACUAAGAAACAACGAACCAUCUAAGAGAGAGAAGAGGUCUCUAGACUUUAUAGGCUCAGGAUUAUCAUGGUGUUGCGGAGUGGCAACAUUGCAAAAACUAAAUAUGGUCGAAAACUCAGAUGACGAGAUCAGGAAAAGGCUAGACACAAUGUCACAAGGACUGUCCGAUACCGUAAAACAAAUGAGCGAAAACUCCAAACACUUUCAAGACUAUGAGAAAUUAGUCGCAGCAACGUUCUCGGACACGGAGCUAAGGAUAAAGAGCAUAGAGAGGUUCACUAAACAACUGGAAAAUAAGGUGGCAAAUAUGACAAACGAACAGGAAUUACUAAUAAUGACAAACCUCUAUAACGGAUAUCUAAACCUAAAAAGGAUGGUAUUACUAGUAAGGACUCUCAGGAGACAGGCUAUCGUAAAUUCAUGUAGACACCAUAAAAUACCGGCGGAAAUUGUCAACCCGCAAGUCCUAAAAAAGGAUCUGGAGGAUUUCGAGUCAAAAAUCGCAAAUUCAGAACAAGGACUGGCCAUCCCUACAUCUGAACUAGCAGCAUACUUCGAAAUGCCCAUAUGUGACUGUUCCUUUACAAAAUCAAGUAUAUAUGUUGCACAUAAAAAUUCCAAUAAUUAAGAAAAACAGAAAUUGGCAACUACUAGAGUUAAUAACCACACCCUUUGCUUGGUAUAACCAGACCUGUAUUAUACGCCACCAACCGCUAUACAUUGCAGUGUCCAAAAACGGAAAUAACGAGGGCGACUUAAGACAAAUAUCGGGGACAGGCCUACAUGAAUGUAAGCCAUACCAAAAUAAAUUAUGCUAUUUACCCAGAUUCUCAGCAGACAUCCUACAAGGGCCUGAAUGUGCGAAAAUCCUAUAUCAAGGGGCAACAGUAAAAGAACUAAGCCAAUACUGCCCAAUGGACUGCCACUCAGCAACAUCGAUGACAAUAUCCGAAAUUAAAGACGAAACUUAUGUCAUUACCCACCCGAAACAGGACAUGACCAUCUCUUGUGAUAAAAGUAAGCCUCAGAAAUUAGACACGACAUUAGCACGUCAAGGCUCUAUCAAAAUUUUCCUCCCAUGCAAAUGCCACCUCAGCGUAGGCAAUGCAGUUAUUAUACCUGAAAAUUUCCCUUGUCCAGAAAACAUCACUACCAAUGCAAUAGUAACCCACAUAAUACCUGCAACCUGGUCAAAUCUAAAUUCCUAUAUCCUCAAUCCCAACAUUAUUAGUACCCCACCACUCUACAAAAACAUUUCCGAAUGCCUAAAUACAAAUUGGACACUAGAGAUACCCCAUCUUAACCUCACAUCCAGCGAUAACACCUUAAAAAACAUUCUAAAAUCAGUAGAGAAAAACUAUCCAAAUGUAAUCACUUAUGGUGAUACACAUAGCUUUCACGGGGACUCAUUUUUUCUAAUUUGGAACAUAACCAUUUCAAUCUUGGUAGCGUACAUCCUAAUUAAACAAAAUAGAAUAGCAAUAGUAGCGGCAGUUCCACAAAUACGUGGAGAAAUAGACUGUCAUGAAAAAAGCCCCUCAACAAGUGUUAAUCACGAGGCUCUCUAUAUAAUAAUUUACACUUCAUGUUUACUUUUCCUUCUAUCCUUAUUUACUUAUAUUUUAUAUAUAACGCUCAGAUACUUCAAAAACAAACCAAAAAAUUCAACUACAACCCAAAAUCCCAUGUCCAUUAGAAAUGCAAAAACAUUUGACGAAACAAUAUUAUACCCAAUCCCCGACCCAGGCAAUGACCCCGAACCGAGCGUCGAACCAAACGCCAUGUCAAGGUUCCGGCUAGAUAUAAAAAAUAGUGCUAGCCUUUUAUCACUGUCCCCUGGUAAAAAAGUAGAUGCUAGUAUAGAACGCAUCGAAAUAGAAUAAUUACUUAUUAUUUUACGCAAGCUUGCAUAUAGUUAGUAUAUACUGGGGCCCCUCUGAAGAUGAUACAUUUCACCAUGUUAUUUAAGCCUUAAUUGUAGUCAUGACAAUCUAAACAAUUUAAGGAUAAAUAUCAUAGUAAUUUGCAAAUCACAUCAGAAAACGUAUAAAUAAUUUUGAUUUACGCGCGUAUAUACAUAUUCGAAAUGAAAUUUAUUGAAAUAAUAAUAUAUUAAAAUGAGAUGAUAAUGGGGAAAUAUUAUAAAUAUAUCGCCGGUAGGCGAGGGACAGCGAGCCUAAGGCACAUAAAUAUUUAAGUAGAAGCUAAAAAGAAAACAUAUUAUUAAAAAUAAUGUAAAAGAAAGGGUCUAAUUAAUAAUCUAUAAAAGUUAAAAAGACAUACAUCAAUAAAAGUUAUUUAGAAGAGAGGGGAUAAACAAUUAAUGAAUAAAAAAUAUAUUUUUUUUGGGUUUUCUAUAAAUAAAACACUUUGUUAUCUAAACUCGAAAUACAAGAAACUUCAAAAGAUCUGAGACAAAGGAAAAUUAAUAAAAUUUGAUUAUGAGUCAAAUUAUCCUAAAAUAUAUAAUACAAAAACUGCGAGGAAGUCAACAAUUUCUCAAGAUAUGAUAUAAAGAUUUAACAUGAAAUCAAAAUGAUUAAAUAUAAAACCAUUAAGCACCAUAUAAUAGCACAUACUUACACUUUGUUCUUUCUUUACAUAUAAACAUACCAUGAGAUGCCACACGUACAAAUUCGACCUGAACAGAAAAUAAGGGUACGCUCCUACCAGAACCACAGAAAGUAGCCGAUGGAACCAGAACCAGAGCCAAACAGGAACACCCCACAUCCGCGCACUGCCUUGUUGUCAGUCCUGACCAUCCCAAUCGCAGACAGGGUGAUGCCAGAGCCAUGGCCAUCCCAGGACAAGCUAAGUUACCACUGCGCCAAUGGUCAAAGUCCAAACUUGCCCGAACUCACGACGCUACCAGCAGCGGGUUGAAGUGUUCAACCUAUGAUCUCCAGUAGGGGAUGCCAACAUUACGAAUCAUGGAUUCAGCUGAAGAUACGGCAGGGGCCAUCCAUAAAACACAGUUCCAGGAAACCGACGGCGUUGAAGGACUGGUACAAAACAAGGGAGAAGUCAGGCAUACAAGGGGGUGUCAUGUGAUGUCGCAAGGGUUGCCAACGGACGAAUGGAGGCGUCAAACCCGUAGGCGUUCCAGAAGAGGAGUCAGACAUACAUGGGUGAAGGUGUCCUAGGACGACACAUGGAGGCGUCAAACCUGUAGGCGUCCCAGACGAGGGGCAGGCGACAACGCUAUGAACGUCGCCACCUUACCCGGCGACCGGACCCGGAUGCUGAAGACAUUUUGUGUUCAGAGACUACGUAGUAUUAAAAAAUGUGGACAUCAAAAGCGAUAGUUACAUUAAUUGUAGUUAAAAUUUAAUGAAUAAUAAGGGUUCAGCUCUAAUUAAUUAUACGUUAUUUAGGUACAUCGUUGUUCUGAUCUUACUAAUUGUAAAUUUUUUUUUCUUCUGGGUCUUCUUCGAUCAUGAUUUCGAUUGUUAACAAUAAAGCUGGAGGCCAGCUUUUCUAUGCCCGGGGGAUAUGUCAAACGAAGAUAAUUCAUUAAAAAACAUUUUAAAUUUUAUUUUAUUAAUAUAAAAAUCACUUAAAAAUAUUCGUUCGGUAUACCAGGUCAUUUACCCACAAAUUGUGUAAGUAACAAUUUCCUGAUUGCAUGAUGAAAUAACCAAGUCAUUUCCAUCGUAAAAAGAUUGCAAAAGUACUUUGUCGAUAGAACGAUGGUUUGGAAAAAACCGGAAAUUCUGCUGACAAAGAAAAUUAACACUAGGGUACGACGAACGAAAUUUGGCAGAGUUACGACCGGGUCUCGGGCAAGAAGAGGUAACCGAAAGCAGUGCGGAAAAGCUUUGUGAAAUGUUUGCUCCAAGAAUAAUAAUAAUGUAAGUACAACAUUUUAUCAUAUCGAAGAAGAUCACAAUUAUUGUCACUUUAUUAAGUUACGUAACAUUACUUUCACUUUAAUUAUAGAAUUCGCUACAUAUUCCCAUGUACUUAAAUUAUUAAUCCUGUUAUGUCGAUCUUAGUUUAUCUCUUGUCAAAUUAGCUCUUUUAUUUGGGUAACUCUACUUAAAUCGUUAUAAUUAUAUUUUGCUGUCAAUACAAGGUAUUUAGUAAACUA